UACGGAGGGGGCUAGCGUUGUUCGGAAUUACUGGGCGUAAAGCGCACGUAGGCGGCUUUGUAAGUUAGAGGUGAAAGCCCGGGGCUCAACUCCGGAAUUGCCUUUAAGACUGCAUCGCUCGAAUUGUGGAGUGGUAAGUGGAAUUCCGAGUGUAGAGGUGAAAUUCGUAGAUAUUCGGAAGAACACCAGUGGCGAAGGCGACUUACUGGACACAUAUUGACGCUGAGGUGCGAAAGCGUGGGGAGCAAACAGG
rnacentral:rRNA from 1 species